GGGCUCAGGACAGCUCAUUCCCAAACAAAAUUUGCAUUUCAUCAGCUUAAACCAGUUUAGGUUCAAAUCAGGCGAUUUCGGCCGACAUAAUUCAUACCUUGUCGGGUUUUGAAUUCAAUAAAAAAGAGCUAAAUGCCACCUGUUGCCGCAUUCGGCAUGAGGCAGCGUCUGAUGAGAUCACCUCUGCCCUGCGAUCGAAACCGUCAAAGUCAAAUAUAAUUCUUAAGAAGUGAGUUUCCUUUUAUGUCAAAAUUUUAUAUGGAAAACAAAACGUCUAGGAACCUUUGCGCCAUCCUUUGUGUAGAUAUGAGGCCGAACUACCGCCAGAUUCAAAUGACGUCGAUUAGAACAUCAACACCCAACUGGAGAGAAAUGCCGGCUUAGUGUAAACAUAUUCUAAAUAGACAAAUAAUCAAAAGAUAUUUUCCAGUUAACGAAUUCCAUCCACUUUGAACUGAUGACAGUUGGAGUCCGAUCUGAGUGAUGUUGGUUGCAUUUAGUUUCUUUGGGCAAAAAAUGGAAAUUAUGAAUAAAAC